rnacentral:misc_RNA from 1 species
CAGAGUUCUCGCCCUCGCGGGUAGAUCUCCCACCCACUGUUAUUGCUACCGUGUUGCUUUGGCGGGCUGCUGGGCCUAGCCCGGCCGCCGGCUCCGGCCGGCGCGCGCCCGCCAGAGGACCCAAAACCCUGAUUAUUAGUGUCGUCUGAGUACUAUAUAAUAGUUA